rnacentral:rRNA from 1 species
AGUGAACGCUGGCGGUAGGCCUAACACAUGCAAGUCGAACGGCAGCACAGUAAGAGCUUGCUCUUACGGGUGGCGAGUGGCGGACGGGUGAGGAAUACAUCGGAAUCUACUUUUUCGUGGGGGAUAACGUAGGGAAACUUACGCUAAUACCGCAUACGACCUACGGGUGAAAGCAGGGGAUCUUCGGACCUUGCGCGAUUGAAUGAGCCGAUGUCGGAUUAGCUAGUUGGCGGGGUAAAGGCCCACCAAGGCGACGAUCCGUAGCUGGUCUGAGAGGAUGAUAAGCCACAUGGAACCGGGGAAAGGGCCAAGACUCCAACGGGAGGAAGCAGGGGGAAUAAUUGAACAAGGGGGGAAGGCCGGACCAGGCAUAACGGGUUGGGUGAAGAAGGCUUUGGGGUUGUAAGCCCUUUUGUUGGGAAAGAAAAGCAGCAGGUUAAUACCCCGCUGUUCUGACGGUACCCAAAGAAUAAGCACCGGCUAACUUCGUG